CACUGAGGCCGUCUCUCCUGCAUGAAGUCCAGGGCCCUGUUUCAGAAAGCCGGUUUAGUGCAAACUCUGAGUAAGUAUACCCUGAGUUAACGAAAACUCUGGGUUUUCGGUUACACAAAGCGAGUUUAGAUUAAUUCUGAGUCAGUUACUAUGACGACACACUCCGUGAAGCUAACCUGCCCCCUAGCAGGUUUACUUCAACUAACCCUGACUUUCUCCGCCUCUUUGUCGGAAACCUGACUGUAGGAAGUGUCAGACAUGGCGUGCCCCUUCCUUGAAGAGCCAGUAGAUGUUGAAGCCCAAAUUCUCCACAGAGCUCUCCGCCGGGAGAGAGUGAUUAGAGCGCGUUUGGACAUUUUAUCAUUUCCUGAUGAUUUUCUGUGUAAACGUUACCGUUUUUCAGCACAAUCUAUAAUAUAUUUGAAUAACAUCCUCAGGCCUUAUAUUGCUCAUGUGACACAUCGCGGACAUUCUCUCAGUUCUGUACAUAUUAUUUGUAUUGCACUUCGUUUUUUUGCAAACGGGAGCUUUCUGUAUAAUAUUGGUGACGCUGAGCACGUUUCCAAGGCUACCGUCUGUCGGGCAGUCAGGAAUGUUACAGAUGCACUGAAACGUCUCCUGUACUCGUUUGUGGUGUUCCCCGGUCAUAGACCCACAAGAUAUAUCAAAGAGGGAUUCCACAAAAUUGCAGGUAUCAGGAUGAACAAAACUUAAUUCAUGAUGUGGUGAUACUUGAACUACUACUUAAAUUUUACAUUUAUUUUCAGGGUUCCCAGGCGUGAUUGGCUGUAUAGAUGGCACUCACAUUCCAAUCAUUGCUCCUUCAGUAAAUGAAGGAGUCUAUGUGAACAGGAAGUCUUUCCACAGCAUUAAUGUACAGAUCAUGUGUGAUGCUGCCAACAUUAUCACAAAUGUGGAAGCCAAGUGGCCAGGCUCUGUUCAUGACUCACAAAUUUUUCGUGAAUGUACACUGAGCACAAAAUUUGGACAUGGAGAGUUCACUGGCUACUUGCUUGGUGAUAGGGGGUAUCCAUGUUUACCCUAUUUGCUUACCCCGUACCCUGACCCUGAACCGGGCCCACAGCAGGGAUUUAAUCUGGCUCAUUGCUGGACAAGAGCCAGAGUUGAAAUGACUAUCGGAAUGCUUAAGGCCCGGUUCCAGUGCCUUCAAACAGUUCCAGUGCCUUCAACAUUGCCACAAUUAGAGGAGAACACUG